rnacentral:misc_RNA from 1 species
UAAAAAGGGCAGAUAACUGUAAAUGACACAGCAAUUAGAAGGAUGGAGGUUGAUAAUUCAACAGCUGUGGAUGAGUCGACCACGACAAGUCCCCGGCUGUUGCUGAAAAGAUUCUAUGAUUUGCAAGCAGAACGGGUUCAGACAUAUCUGUUAUUUGAUGAGGGUUUCCAGGCAUAUCUGAAGGGAGCUCCCAACUACAACUUCAGCAUGUACAGACAGCUGGUACACGAGAUCACAGAGACCUUCCAGAAGAUCUCCCAGGAUGUGAUCAAGGUGAAAGACUCUUUGGCCAAUGUUUGUAACUUGAACCAGAUUGCCAACAUACUGGACCAGGUGCAGGAUGAGGAGAGGAACAAGCUAGAACUGACAGCUCGUCUCCAGAUCGCCCAGCAGAAUGCCGUUGACCAUCCAGCAGAUGAAUGCUACAAGGCCGAAAUAGUGGAGCUGAAGCAAAAAGUGGGUGAAAGGAUACAGAAUAUCAAUGAGUUCUUAGAGGAACUGAAGUACGAGUCCGAGAAUCUCUACACAGACGAGGAGGAGGAAAGGUAGCAUGAAGAAUCCAAGUAGUGAAGGAAAUAACGGAUGAAUUAGUGAAAGACUCACUGUUGCAGGAAAUACCCCUGGACCUUUUGUUGUUCAUGUUAUUAAGUCAGGAUCAACAGACUAAAACACUCCAUUCAAGGGCAAGGAUCUGAGUGGGAGAAAUCCUGUUAUUUCCUGAUGUGAGGGCUCUUAUGUCACUGACUUGUACAUUGUAGUGUGGCUAUAUCAAGGCCAUGUUGGUUAACACAGUUUUCUGUGUAUGAAACAUCAGAUUGAAACCACUCUUGCAUAAAUAAUGUAAUCCAGCAAAGUUGAUCGAAGUUAUCAUCAUUUUCACAUAGGAUCAUCGUUUUAAGCUAAACAUUAUAUUAGCAUAUUAAGCCAAGGUGAUAUUGAAACAACAAAUACAGAUACUAUAGCUUUCAUAGAAA